GUCUACAGCUAUACCACUCUGGACAUGCCUGAUCUCAUCUGAUCUUUGAAGCUAAGCAGAGUUGGGUCUGGUUAGUACUUGGAUGGGAAAAUUGCAGACAGGGAUGCUGCCUGGC
rnacentral:rRNA from 1 species